GGAGGGUAUAGCUCAGUGGUAGAGCAUGUGCGUAGUAUGCACAAGGUCCUGGGUUCAAUCCCCAGUACCUCCA
rnacentral:tRNA from 1 species